GCCGCCAUGGUGAAAUUGGUAGACACGCUGCUCUUAGGAAGCAGUGCUUAAGCUUCUCGGUUCGAAUCCGAGUGGCGG
rnacentral:tRNA from 1 species